rnacentral:rRNA from 1 species
CCUACGGGAGGCUGCAGUGGGGAAUAUUGGACAAUGGGCGAAAGCCUGAUCCAGCCAUGCCGCGUGUGUGAAGAAGGCCUUCGGGUUGUAAAGCACUUUCAGUGGGGAAGAAAGCCUUGGGGCUAAUACCCUCGAGGAAGGACAUCACCCACAGAAGAAGCACCGGCUAACUCCGUGCGCAGCAGCCGCGGUAAUACGGAGGGUGCGAGCGUUAAUCGGAAUUACUGGGCGUAAAGCGCGCGUAGGCGGUCUGAUAAGCCGGUUGUGAAAGCCCCGGGCUCAACCUGGGAACGGCAUCCGGAACUGUCAGGCUAGAGUGCAGGAGAGGAAGGUAGAAUUCCCGGUGUAGCGGUGAAAUGCGUAGAGAUCGGGAGGAAUACCAGUGGCGAAGGCGGCCUUCUGGACUGACACUGACGCUGAGGUGCGAAAGCGUGGGUAGCAAACAGGAUUAGAUACCCGAGUAUC